CCUACGGGAGGCAGCAGUGGGGAAUAUUGGGCAAUGGGCGCAAGCCUGACCCAGCAACGCCGCGUGAAGGAAGAAGGCUUUCGGGUUGUAAACUUCUUUCCUCAGGGACGAUGAAAGUGGCGGUACCUGAGGAAUAAGCCACGACUAACUACGUGCCAGCAGCCGCGGUACUACGUAGGUGGCAAGCGUUAUGCGGAUGUAUUGGGUGUAAAGGGGGCGUAGGCGGGUGCGCAAGUCAGAUGUGAAAUCUCAGGGCUCAACCCUGAGACUGCAUUUGAUACUGUGUUUCUUGAGUGGUGGAGAGGCAAUCGGAAUUCCGUGUGUAGCGGUGAAAUGCGUAGAUAUACGGAGGAACACCAGUGGCGAAGGCGGAUUGCUGGACAGUAACUGACGCUGAGGCGCGAAAGCGUGGGGAGCAAACAGGAUUAGAUACCCCUGUAGUC
rnacentral:rRNA from 1 species